rnacentral:rRNA from 1 species
CUACGGGGGGCACCAGUGGGGAAUAUUGCACAAUGGGCGCAAGCCUGAUGCAGCCAUGCCGCGUGUAUGAAGAAGGCCUUCGGGUUGUAAAGUACUUUCAGCGGGGAGGAAGGGAGUAAAGUUAAUACCUUUGCUCAUUGACGUUACCCGCAGAAGAAGCACCGGCUAACUCCGUGCCAGCAGCCGCGGUAAUACGGAGGGUGCAAGCGUUUAUCGGAAUUACUGGGCGUAAAGCGCACGCAGGCGGUUUGUUAAGUCAGAUGUGAAAUCCCCGGGCUCAACCUGGGAACUGCAUCUGAUACUGGCAAGCUUUGGGCUGGUAGAGGGGGGUAGAAUUCCAGGUGUAGCGGUGAAAUGCGUAGAGAUCUGGAGGAAUACCGGUGGCGAAGGCGGCCCCCUGGACGAAGACUGACGCUCAGGUGCGAAAGCGUGGGGAGCAAACAGGAUUAGAUACCCCAGUAGUC